rnacentral:lncRNA from 1 species
AAGAUGUCAAUGUUAUGGAGAGGUUAAUAAGUAUAAAAAGAUGCUUUCUCUGCCCCUUUGGGUAAGGGACGGGCAUCCUUUUUCUCAUUUAGAGGAACGAGUUUUCCUCUUCUAAUUUUAGGUGGGAUUUGGUUGCAUGCAGGUGGACUUACUGAUUUCUCUAAUAAUGGAUGUUUGCAUGCUUCAGAGGAGAGGUGAUGUUUCUGUCCAAACAACCACUUUUUUUCUUCUAAGCUCUUCUCUAUCAUUUUUUUGAGUUUCGGAUGGUUGUUUAUCGGUUAUUAGCAAUGGAGAUCUUUGAGUUAAUCGUGUUUGAGUUAAUCGUUCUUUCAUACCUCAGUAUGUCUAUAUUCUAUAAAUUACUUAGAAAGGAUCUUUAUUCAUGGUUGUGACACUAGAUAUCUCAAAGGCUUAUAGUUAUUUUUUUUUUCUGUGGAUCGGUUGUCCUCAAGGUGCGAAAAAAGUCGUUGGUGAGUUCUAAUUCAAUGUCACCUCCCUUACUUGGAUGAUGCUCUGUGUUCAUGGUUGGAUGCU